rnacentral:tRNA from 1 species
AAAAAGUUAGUUAAAAAAUAACAUUAGAUUGUCAGCCUAAAAUUAUUAAUUUAUUUUAAUACUUUUUA